rnacentral:rRNA from 1 species
UACGGGGGGGGGCAAGCGUUUGUUCGGAAUUACUGGGCGUAAAGGGUUCGUAGGUGGCUUGUUAAGUCAGACGUGAAAAUCCCUCGGCUCAACCGGGGAACUGCGUCUGAGACUGAUGAGCUCGAGUGCAGGAGAGGAACGCGGAAUUCCAGGUGUAGCGGUGAAAUGCGUAGAUAUCUGGAGGAACACCGGUGGCGAAGGCGGCAUCCUGGACCGGUAUUGACGCUGAGGCGCGAAAAGCGUGGGGGAGCAAAACAGG